rnacentral:lncRNA from 1 species
UUAAAUCUCAAAUAUUCGAGAAGUGCCUCUCCGACAGAGGCAUACAGCAUCUUUGCUCUUCGAACUACUAUCCACAAUCUAACGGUCAAGUUGAACGCUUCAACCGCGUUUUGAAAGAGCAAAUUCAGCUCGCUCAACUUGAAUGCCGCCCACUGAAACAAGCUGUAACAGAGUACUUAGGCACGUAUCGCUUUACGCCUCAAGCUACUACAGGCUUGUCGCCUGCACAACUUCUGCAUAACCGCGAACCACGUUCUGGAAUUGACAUUGCAGGGUUACACCCAAACUCUUCCACUCCUUCGCCAAGUUUGGAUCCUGUGAGAACACGAGUGUUCCACAAGCAACAGGCAACUAAGCGACGCAUUGAUUCUAAGCGUGGAGCAAAACCUCCUAAGCUACAGAUACAAAGACAAGGCUGGUGAAA